rnacentral:rRNA from 1 species
UACAGAGGUGGCAAGCGUUGUUCGGAAUUAUUGGGCGUAAAGGGCGCGUAGGCGGCCUUGCAAGUGGCGGGUGAAAUCCCUCGGCUUAACCGAGGAACUGCCUGCCAGACUGCAAGGCUCGAGACCGGGAGAGGUGAGUGGAAUUCCCAGUGUAGCGGUGAAAUGCGUAGAUAUUGGGAGGAACACCAGUGGCGAAGGCGGCUCACUGGACCGGAACUGACGCUGAGGCGCGAAAGCGUGGGGAGCAAACAGG